rnacentral:rRNA from 1 species
UACGGAGGGGGCUAGCGUUGUUCGGAAUUACUGGGCGUAAAGCGCGCGUAGGCGGCUUUGUAAGUUAGAGGUGAAAGCCCGGAGCUCAACUCCGGAAUUGCCUUUAAGACUGCAUCGCUUGAAUCCAGGAGAGGUGAGUGGAACUCCGAGUGUAGAGGUGAAAUUCGUAGAUAUUCGGAAGAACACCAGUGGCGAAGGCGACUCACUGGCCCGAUACUGACGCUGAGGCGCGAAAGCGUGGGGAGCAAACAGG